CAACAUCGGCAAUUCCCAGCACUGAACGGACGUUGGAGGAAGGAUGAUAACGUGAGUCAGAUCUGCAGCCAAACUGCAGCCACCAGGCGAGGUUGCUCUUUACCCUACAACUGAGGACACUGGAGUGUAAAAGAGUAAAACAAAAUGGCAGGGAUGGAGAAGUUGUUUGCCUUGAGGCAACAGAAUUCCCGGCUGCUGACGUACGGGAAAAACAAGAAGGGGGGGGGGGGGAAUUUCCGAAGACUUGAAGUUCGUUGUAGCCUACUUUUGAACUACUUUCUUUCUUGGAUAUCAGCAUACUUCUUUAACUUAAUACACUAGUGUAUCGCUCUGAACGAGAAAAAUGUCGAGACAGCUGAAGUUGAACGAAAAAUUGAACGGGGGAAGUAUGUCUUCGAUCUUCUGGAAGCUUAAUAUUACAACAUCUAAAUAACGAAGUCAUUGUUUAGUCACCAUGAAAUCUUUUCAAGUCAACAUGUGUUGACUUACAUCCGACAAACUUUCCUCUUACUCAACAUUCAUGUUAAUCGAAACAGCGAUAAGAGCCUAGGGAAACUCCCGUGCCAAAAAGGGGAGUAGGUCGAUGCCAAUCAGGGUCACUGGUUCCUCUUAUUCUUUAGGAGGCGAAAUUACGACGAAGCACGCGACUGCCACUCAUCAUAAAUCACUCGGACACUUUUUGCCGUCGACGUACUUUUUGGCAUCUGAACCCUUGUACAAUUUCCUGGGGGCCUCCUACUCAGCUAUUGAUCGACAUCAAACGUUGUUACACUUAUCUCAACUUUAGCACGGCUGAGCACUUUAUGAUCAAGGAAAAGCAAUAAAUUAAUUUUAUGAACUA